AAUUAAACAUGCAAGCGAGUCAAGCCUUGUGCACCAGCAAUAACACUGGCUUUAGGAGUCCUAAAGGACAGGAAUUACUGCUAUUAUAAAUACUAGAUUAUAGAAGAUAGAUUGACAUCCCCA